rnacentral:lncRNA from 1 species
GAGGAAGUGAAGGAGAAGGAGGUGGUGGUGACUUGUAAAUAUAAGGUGGAGGUGGUGAUGGGGAUGGUGGUGGUGGGGACUUGUAGAUGUAAGAAAGGGGUAGUGAUGCAGAUGGUGGAGGAGGAGACUUAUAGACAUACUUAGGUUGUGGUGAUGGAGAGGGAGGUGGAGGAGAUUUGUAGACAUAUGGCGGAGGAGGUGAAGGAGAGGGAGGUGGUGGUGACUUAUAAAUAUAAGGUGGAGGUGGUGAAGGAGAUGGUGGUGGUGGAGAUUUGUAUGUAUAUAAUGGAGCUAAUUUGGGGUAGAGGUGUGCGUGUUUUGCAUGAUGUGGGGUGUAUUGUGAUUGUGGAUAUUUUGCAUGUUUUGGAGGAGGUGGAGAUUUAUAUGUAUAUAAUGGAGUUAAUUUGGGGUAGAGGUGUGAGUGUUUUGCAUGAUGUGGGGUAUAUUGUGAUUGUGGAUAUUUUGCAUACUUUGGAGGUGGUGGGGAUUUGUAUGUAUAUAAUUGAGUUAAUUUGGGGUAGAGGUGUGAGUGUUUUGCAUGAUGUGAGGUGUAUUUUGAUUGUGGAUAUUUUGCAUACUUUGGAGGUGGUGGGGAUUUGUAUGUAUAUAUUGGAGUUAAUUUUGGAUAGGGAUGUGAAUGUUUUGCAUGUUCAGGGGUGUACUUUGAUUGUGGAUAUUCUACAUGCUUUGUAGGUAAUGGAGAUUUGUGUUUAUAUAAUGGAGUUAAUUUAGGGUAGAGGUGCGAGUGUUUUGCAUGAUAUAGGGUGUAUUGUGAUUGUGGGUGUUUUGCAUAUUUUGGAGGUGGUGGAGAUUUAUAUGCAUAUAAUGGAGUUAAUUUGGGAUAGGGAUGUGAAUGUUUUGCAUGUUUUGGGGUGUACUUUGAUUGUGGAUAUUCUGCAUGCUUCGUAGAGAGUGGAGAUUUGUGUUUAUACAAUGGAGUUAAUUUGUGAUUGAGGU